GACGAACGCUGGCGGCGUGCCUAAUACAUGCAAGUCGAGCGGAAUGAUGAAGAAGCUUGCUUCUUCUGGUUUUAGCGGCGGACGGGUGAGUAACACGUGGGCAACCUACCUUGUAGAUUGGGAUAACUCCGGGAAACCGGGGCUAAUACCGAAUAAUCCAUUUUGCUUCAUGGCGAGAUGUUGAAAGACGGUUUCGGCUGUCACUACAAGAUGGGCCCGCGGCGCAUUAGCUAGUUGGUAGGGUAAUGGCCUACCAAGGCGACGAUGCGUAGCCGACCUGAGAGGGUGAUCGGCCACACUGGGACUGAGACACGGCCCAGACUCCUACGGGAGGCAGCAGUAGGGAAUCUUCCACAAUGGACGAAAGUCUGAUGGAGCAACGCCGCGUGAGUGAAGAAGGUUUUCGGAUCGUAAAACUCUGUUGUAAGGGAAGAACACGUACGAGAGUAACUGCUCGUACCUUGACGGUACCUUAUUAGAAAGCCACGGCUAACUACGUG
rnacentral:rRNA from 1 species